rnacentral:rRNA from 1 species
CCUACGGGUGGCAGCAGUGGGGAAUAUUGCACAAUGGGGGAAACCCUGAUGCAGCGACGCCGCGUGAAGGAAGAAGUAUUUCGGUAUGUAAACUUCUAUCAGCAGGGAAGAAAAUGACGGUACCUGACUAAGAAGCCCCGGCUAACUAAGUGCCAGCAGCCGCGGUAAUACGUAGGGGGCAAGCGUUAUCCGGAUUUACUGGGUGUAAAGGGAGCGUAGGCGGUUUAGCAAGUCAGAAGUGAAAGCCCGGGGCUCAACUCCGGGACUGCUUUGGAAACUGUUGAACUAGAGUGCAGGAGAGGUAAGUGGAAUUCCUAGUGUAGCGGUGAAAUGCGUAGAUAUUAGGAGGAACACCAGUGGCGAAGGCGGCUUACUGGACUGUAAAUGACGCUGAGGCUCGAAAGCGUGGGGAGCAAACAGGAUUAGAUACCCUUGUAGUC